AACGAACGCUGGCGGCGCGCCUAAUACAUGCAAGUCGAGCGAGAAGACGUAGCAAUACGUUUGUAAAGCGGCGAACGGGUGAGGAAUACAUGGGUAACCUACCCUCGAGUGGGGAAUAACUAGCCGAAAGGUUAGCUAAUACCGCGUACGCUCCUUGGACUUCGGUUCAGGGAGGAAAGCGAUACCGUGGGUAUCGCGCUCUUGGAUGGGCUCAUGUCCUAUCAGCUUGUUGGNGAGGUACGGCUCACCAAGGCUUC
rnacentral:rRNA from 1 species